GUCCCAGGGCAGUUGCCUGAAGCUGUGGAAAGUGCCCCUCCCCUCAGCAGGGCCUGGGGCAUAUGAACCAAUUUUCUAUGUAAACCUCCAACCUGGGCUGUGAUCCAUUUUCCUUACUUCCUAGGAUCAGAGCGCAGAGCAGCCUUCCAGGGGUCCUUCAUACGACCCGUUGGGCCUUCCCAGAAGAGAGGGAAGGACUAGGGUUGAGUUUUGAGGUGUUUCUCUGACCCCAGCACCUUUUCAUUUCCAACGUACAGGACUUGUGGUUUCCAAGUCACACGUGAUCUCCCACUUGGUGUGAGAGGAGAUACCUGGGAUACCAGAGGGAGAUGGCCCCAGAAGCACCUGUCCAGGCUAGCAAGUGAAAACCAGUGUUACCUAUUCUGGUCUGCUGGUCAGAAGACUGUGAGAGGAAUUGCCUUUUCCUGGCUUUCUUGUACCUGAGCCACCAGGAAGCUGUGUCCAUGACCUGAACCUGAGGUUACAGUUAGGUUACAAAGUUGGUAUCAGUACCUUUUAAGGAAAAACCAACCUAGCUUGCAUGGAGUAAGACCUAAGGAUAUCACCCCUAUCAAACCUGGGAUACGUCCAUUCAGGGAUGGGAGGAGUGUGAUGAUGCAGAAAAGAGAACUGGGAGAGAGCAAUGUUGGGAAAACCCAGGGAGGAAGAACUGUCCAGGAGAAAUGCUGACAUACUGAGAAGAGGUCAACGGUGGCAGAGGCUGCAGAGAAGGCAAGAAGGAUGGGGAUGGAGAAAAGGCCAGUGGGCUUGGUGUCGCCGUGAAGCGACACUUGGGAAGUCAGUCUCUGUUGUUAGUACUUGGAUAGUUGGGGCUAUUCUCCUCUGAACCAGCCACUGGGAACGUGAGUCAUUUCUGGCCUUUUGCUACUGCAAAGAAAGUGAUUGUCCUCAAGUCCAUGGAUUUCUCUAUUUCCUUUCUAGCAUCUUUGGGGUACAGACCCAUGUCAAAUAGCUUUGUGGGCUUUGCUCUGUUCUGAUUGUGUCACAGUGACCUGUUUCUCCACAGCUUCACUAACAUUGGAUUUUAACAUUCCGUAUCAGUUAUCCCUUCACAUCGCAAGGGUUUAGGGGCACUGGAAAAUCCACCUAGAAUUUUUUGGCCCUUGCUUCAUACUAGAGAAGAUGUCCGAAUUAGUAUGGUAUUAAAAGAUAAAAUAUGUUGGUAUUAUACAAUAUUGUACAUAUAUUUUAUACAUUUCUGAUUUUCUAAACUUUUAUGUGCGUCAUCUGCUGGCCUUUGCAUGUCAUCUGUGGCUUCUGUAAAACUCCCACAAAAUUCCCAUUUACUUUCUUAUGCCAACUCAUAAUAUAUUGAAACUGCAAUGGGGAAAGUUGCGAUGUGGAAAGGAUAACUGUAUUUUGUUUAAUUGGUGGUGUGUUAGGGUUGUUUUCAUUUACAUUUGUUUGCAUAAUGGGGAGUUUGAACAUGGCAUUUUUUUUGUUUCCUCUAAGAAAUGGGAUCUUUGGUAAAUUUAUGCCCAUUCGUUUUACAUUUUCAAUGUCAAAAUCUCUUUAAUUUUAUAUAAUCAAAUUCACCAUUUUUUCUGUAGUGAUUUAUGGUUUGCUGAAUGGAUCAGAGUUUCCUUUGUCUCCACAAAUAUGAUAGAUGUGUCAUUUUGUCUCGUAAUAAUUUUUAUCAUGUUUUUCUUGUUUUAUAUAUUUGUACCACUGAUCUACUUGGAAGUGUUCUAGUAUCCAUAGCAUCAGAUGGGGAUCUAAUCCCAGUUAUCAUUUCACAGCUGGCCAAUUUUCACAAAUAUUACUGAAUAAUGAGUUCUGUGCACAAUGUUUUGUCAUCUAAGAUUUAUUAAAUACUCCUCUGCUGGAAA